UUUCCAUUCACAUUCCAUAAUUUAUUGUCUUUCAUGUAAGAGUGAAAUAGGGUAAGCACCAAGUACCGGUAUCGAGGCUAGUUAGGAUUUUGAUUAAUGAUGUUUAAUUGAGUUUUAUUGAUUCUGUCCACAGGUAGCAAUGAAUGCAUUUGAAGGUAUGAGAUUUUGCACUUGUGGAUUGUCUGCAUCGGUGAAGUCAGAUUUUUGUGGCAUGUUACGAGUGCUUUCCUUGGGUUGGGAAGUUCCAAUAAUGGGAACUGUAUGGAUGAACAUCAUGGUACCAGAAACACGUCGGUUUAGAAGAAAAUGUAUUUGUCUCAGGAAAGGAAAAAAUAGGUACAACAAUUCGGUUUGUGGCAUGCACUCAAAACAUAUCACUUCCAGCGACCUACAGACAACGGCUGCUUAUGCAGGCAAUUGUACUAGCCGACAUUGUAUUCAUUCUCUAUUAAGAAUUUUAUAAUUAACUAGUGUUACGUAAAUUCCUUUUGUACGGUUGUUGUCAUGGAAAGAGAAGAAAUUCCAGUAGCUGGAAUUAAGUGGAAACUGCAACAGCCAUUUAAUGGGCAGUGAUUGUGAAUAUUCGGUUUCUAUAUGAAUGGAGAAGUCGUUGUAUGCAA